rnacentral:piRNA from 1 species
UGGCCACAAAAUCUGAGAAUGACUCCUGUGU